rnacentral:rRNA from 1 species
UAGAGUUUGAUCCUGGCUCAGGAUGAACGCUAGCUACAGGCUUAACACAUGCAAGUCGAGGGGAAACGACAUCGAAAGCUUGCUUUUGAUGGGCGUCGACCGGCGCACGGGUGAGUAACGCGUAUCCAACCUGCCCAUCACUUGGGGAUAACCUUGCGAAAGUAAGACUAAUACCCAAUGACGUCUCUAGAAGACAUCUGAAAGAGAUUAAAGAUUUAUCGGUGAUGGAUGGGGAUGCGUCUGAUUAGCUUGUUGGCGGGGUAACGGCCCACCAAGGCGACGAUCAGUAGGGGUUCUGAGAGGAAGGUCCCCCACAUUGGAACUGAGACACGGUCCAAACUCCUACGGGAGGCAGCAGUGAGGAAUAUUGGUCAAUGGGCGAGAGCCUGAACCAGCCAAGUAGCGUGCAGGAUGACGGCCCUAUGGGUUGUAAACUGCUUUUAUAAGGGAAUAAAGUGAGUCUCGUGAGGCUUUUUGCAUGUACCUUAUGAAUAAGGACCGGCUAAUUCCGUGCCAGCAGCCGCGGUAAUACGGAAGGUCCGGGCGUUAUCCGGGUUUAUUGGGUUUAAAGGGAGCGUAGGCCGGAGAUUAAGCGUGUUGUGAAAUGUAGACGCUCAACGUCUGCACUGCAGCGCGAACUGGUUUCCUUGAGUACGCACAAAGUGGGCGGAAUUCGUGGUGUAGCGGUGAAAUGCUUAGAUAUCACGAAGAACUCCGAUUGCGAAGGCAGCUCACCGGAGCGCAACUGACGCUGAAGCUCGAAAGUGCGGGUAUCGAACAGGAUUAGAUACCCUGGUAGUCCGCACGGUAAACGAUGGAUGCCCGCUGUUGGUCUGAAUAGGUCAGCGGCCAAGCGAAAGCAUUAAGCAUCCCACCUGGGGAGUACGCCGGCAACGGUGAAACUCAAAGGAAUUGACGG